rnacentral:rRNA from 1 species
UACGGAGGGUGCAAGCGUUAUCCGGAUUCACUGGGUUUAAAGGGUGCGUAGGUGGUUUCUUAAGUCUGGUUUGAAAGUCGGCGGCUUAACCGUUGGAUGUGGCUGGAAACUGGGGGACUUGAAUGGGCUGGAGGUCACUGGAACGGGUCAUGUAGCGGUGAAAUGCAUAGAUAUGACCCAGAACACCAAUUGCGAAGGCAGGUGACUAUGGUCUGAUUGACACUGAGGCACGAGAGCAUGGGGAGCGAACAGG